AUUGGACGCUGGCGGCAGGCCUAACACAUGCAAGUCGAGCGGAUGAGAGGAGCUUGCUUCUCGAUUCAGCGGCGGACGGGUGAGUAAUGCCUAGGAAUCUGCCUGGUAGUGGGGGACAACGUUUCGAAAGGAACGCUAAUACCGCAUACGUCCUACGGGAGAAAGCAGGGGACCUUCGGGACUUGCGCUAUCAGAUGAGCCUAGGUCGGAUUAGCUAGUUGGUGAGGUAAUGGCUCACCAAGGCGACGAUCCGGAACUGGUCUGAGAGGAUGAUCAGUCACACUGGAACUGGGACACGGUCCAGACUCCUACGGGAGGCAGCAGUGGGGAAUAUUGGACAAUGGGCGAAAGCCUGAUCCAGCCAUGCCGCGUGUGUGAAGAAGGUCUUCGGAUUGUAAAGCACUUUAAGUUGGGAGGAAGGGUUGUAGAUUAAUACUCUGCAAUUUUGACGUUACCGACAGAAUAAGCACCGGCUAACUCUGUGCCAGCAGCCGCGGUAACAC
rnacentral:rRNA from 1 species